rnacentral:rRNA from 1 species
GACGAACGCUGGCGGCGUGCUUAAUACAUGCAAGUCGAACGAUCCCGAGCUUCGGCUCAAUGGGAGAGUGGCGAACGGGUGAGUAACACGUGAGAAACCUGCCCCCGGAGACCGGGACAACCAUUGGAAACGAUGGCUAAUACCGGAUGCCCUCAGCUGGCCGCAUGGCCUACUGAGGAAAUGCUCUGGCGCUCUGGGAGGGUCUCGCGGCCUAUCAGCUAGUUGGUGGGGUAACGGCCUACCAAGGCAUCGACGGGUAGCUGGUCUGAGAGGACGAUCAACCACACUGGGACUGAGACACGGCCCAGACUUCUACGGAAGGCAGCAGUGGGGAAUAUUGCGCAAUGGGCGAAAGCCUGACGCAGCAACGCCGCGUGAGGGAUGACAGCUUUCGGGUUGUAAACCUCUUUCAGUGAUGACGAAAAUGACGGUAAUCACAGAAGAAGGUCCGGCCAACUACGUG